rnacentral:rRNA from 1 species
UACGGGGGGGGCAAGCGUUGCUCGGAAUCACUGGGCGUAAAGCGCACGUAGGCGGAUUGUUAAGUCAGGGGUGAAAGCCCGAGGCUCAACCUCGGAACUGCCUUCGAUACUGCGGGUCUCGAGUCCGGGAGAGGUGAGUGGAAUUCCUAGUGUAGAGGUGAAAUUCGUAGAUAUUAGGAAGAACACCAGUGGCGAAGGCGGCUCACUGGCCCGGUACUGACGCUGAGGCGCGAAAGCGUGGGGAGCAAACAGG